UACGGAAGGUGCAAGCGUUAUCCGGAAUCACUGGGUUUAAAGGGUGCGUAGGCGGAUUAAUAAGUCAGAAGUGAAAGCUCGUCGCUUAACGAUGGAAUUGCUUUUGAUACUGUUAGUCUUGAAACAGGUUGAGGUUGGCGGAAUGUGGCAUGUAGCGGUGAAAUGCUUAGAUAUGCCAUAGAACACCGAUUGCGAAGGCAGCUGACUGGACCUUGUUUGACGCUGAGGCACGAAAGCGUGGGGAGCGAACGGG
rnacentral:rRNA from 1 species